AAAUUUUUGCAUGAAAAUUUUUCAUUUUUGGUGGUUAUUACCGUUACAACGAAAAGUGCUAAAUAAUUAAAGAAAAAAGUUUGUUGGAUUUUAAAUCGCUGGGGAAUACGAGAAUAAAAUGAUCCUGUGCAUUUCAACGAAGCGUUCGGAGAUACAUCAUAAGAUGUCUUGCUCAUUCAAAGUAUAGUGCGGUAGAAGAUUAAAGAAAUCGACGAUAAUAUCCGAACCUAAAGUAGCUUCCAUAAUUUCGAAGGCAAAUUUAAAAUUUAACCUGAAAGGAGAAGCUUUAGUGUACGAAGCAGACGGGACAAAUGUCGACGAUGAGACCUUACAAUUCAUAAUAUCAGAAACAAAACGCUCACAAGAAAUUUUCAUGCUGCUUGAGUCUUUUCAAACUUGGAUCGGCCCACUCUUGGUCGAGAUUGCACAAAAUCUAGAAUCUUCGAAUGUUCACAUCAAAAAUAAUUCAAAUUCUCAAUUAUAUUCUCCUGAGAGAAAACGAUGUAAGAAAGGAGAUUUAAGAAAACAAUGGUCAGCAUUCUACAGUGGACACGUUACCUCCGCCUACCAAAAAUUCAACUUCAUGGGAGAUUCCGUCGCCACUAACACCUUGUAAUUGAAACAAUUUUGAAAUUAAAUGGCCUUCUGAUGGGGAACCAUUUAGAGAUCUUUUGGAUGAUGGAGUUCGUGACAAAUAUUUAGUGACCACAUUUGUCCAAACCGUGGUAUCUCAAAUGUGAACAUUUUGUCCAACUGUUUUAGGAGAGGCUUAUGGAAUAGUUGCAAAGAAAAAGGUCGAUACUUUCCCACAAACCUUCUGCGACUAUUUCGAGAAUGGAGAAGUGUUUAGGCGGGGCUACGCAGUAAUUAAGGAAAAAUUAAAGAAUCGAAAUAAUUAUUUGCUGCGCUUCCAAAGAGGUCUCAACAAGGAAUUGGAAAUUCCUCCGAGUUCCCAAAAAUUAUUGUUGUCGGCAAAAGGAUCAUGUGUCCGUUGCCAAUUUGAUGCUCACCCAGAGGAUGAAACACCGGAAUCCCGACUGGAAGCAGAAGCCUCUUUGCUUGCAAUAGUGACUUCGGAAGAUUUCAGAGAAAUUAGUUUUGAGGAUAAAAUAUUUAUUUUUGGAAAGCAAAAGUGCACAUACGCUGCACAAAGGUUUUUCCUCAAUACUAUUCCGAAUAUACCAACGGCAUUAGCUAUUAAAGAGAAAUGGCCUAUCCUUCUUAUGAAGGAUUAUAUGUUUUGGCACUACGAAAUCUUAAUGCGUCAACCAAUUUCUAAACUAGAAGAUGCCAUUCUUAACAGUUACGCUAAAAUUUUCGCCUUUCACGAGCUGAAAAUCAAGAAAGACGAUCCGAAGAAGAAAAAAAAACACUAUUAAAGGCAACGAAGAGACGAAGGGGAAAGAAUUAACGCCAUAUGAUCGCGUCACAGACACAGAUGCCAUUUUUGACCAAGUUUUCGAAAUAAUUUCGUAACACUUUCAAGAAAAUGUGGACUCUAUUUUCUUACUCUAGUACCAACGAUUCAGCGGAUUUCGUGUUCACGCAAUAUCCGUGUGUUCUACGAAAGAGCGAAAAUAAUUUUAUGCACUACUUAAUAAUUAAUAAUGUAGAAUGCCAGGAAAUUAGUGAUCUUAGCGAUGUUUUAAAAAUAUUUGUCGCUUUUUAUUAUGUACUUAACUGAAUGUUUCCGGACUGUUUUUCUGCCACGAUGCAGUUAAUUCAAGAAUGCUUUAUGAAAAUCAAAUCGAAGGAGGGAAGUAAAUGUCGCCAAAAUACACGUAUCCGUAAGAAGGUCAUGGGCAUAUUUAAUAAACUACGAGAUGUGAAUGUGCCGAAUAGUUAGUGUCAAAGGUAGUCUUCGAGAAGUAAAAGGCAAUAUGUUUUACAAUAGAUCUAUAAAAUCAACGAGUUUUUUGUUCUCUUGAUUUUAAAAUAAGAUUAAGUUCUCUUGUAUAAAGUAAGGUAAUAGAAUUGACAAAAUUUACGUUUUUUGUUUGCUUGUUUGUAAGAUAAAAUUUACGUCUCUUGGCUGUGACACAAUUACUUCUAAUUUCUUAUAAUAAUAUUUAAUAUGUAACAUGCAAUAAUUGGAAAGAUGUUAAAAACGUAUUUAAAUACCACUUUAGAAACUGUUAUCUCUGUCGAUCAAUCCAUACUUUAAAAGAAAAAUGUAUACUUUAACAGGACAAAAAAUUAGUCAUACAAAAAAUAUUACUUUUCAGUAAUAAUUACAGUAGAUCCAAAUUUCAACAAACUACGAGCUGUUAAAGAUUUACAACAUCUACGAUUUUUUGUUCUCUUGUUUUCAAGAUGAUAUUUAAGACUUUUGUACAAAAUAAGGUAAUAUGAUUUACAAAAUCUAAGUUUUUUGUUCGCUUGUUUAUAAGAUAAAAUUUACGCCUCUCUUCACUGUGACACAAUUACUUCUAAUUUAUAAUAGUAUUUAAUGUGUAACAUGCGUUAGUUGGCAAGACAUUGAAAACAUUUUUAAUCACCACUUUCGUAACAAUUAUCUCUAUUGAUUAAUCCAUACUUCAAAAGAGAAUUGUAUGCUUUAACA